GAACGGUGGCCGAUCACCUGAGGGAGAAGGAGGAGGAGGAGAGGAGAAAAAAGCCAGCAUGGUAUAAAUAAGGACUCCCCGCUCAAGCUCCUCACAGUUCAUAGCUGCACACCGAACCUGCUACAUCAAGCAAGAUGCUGCGUUCUCGCCUCCUGGUGCUCGGGGUGGUGGUGCUGGUGGUGCUGCAGGCCUUUGUGACCACCGCGGCCCCUCAGUAUGGUGGUGACGAUGAUGGGUAUGGUGGUGAUGAUGGAUAUGGUGGUGACGAUGGGCAUGGUGGUGACGAUGGGUAUGGUGGUGACGAUGGGUACGGUGGUGACGAUGGGUAUGGUGGUGACGAUGGAUAUGGUGGUGAUGACUCUUACCGUAAAUGGUAAGAGAAUGCCGGCACCAGCUCAGAUCACCCGACCUCCACGCCCUCUACCAAAACACCUGAACAAUGAUUUGAAGAGUCACCAGCCUGGAAGCACUUGGAAAGAAAAGCCUUGUCCUGCUUUAGUAACUUUAUGAUGACAUUGGUUCCUGGAGAUUAAAAACUAUAACCUUU